GUGGGGAAUCUUGCGCAAUGGGCGAAAGCCUGACGCAGCCAUGCCGCGUGGAUGAUGAAGGUCUUAGGAUUGUAAAAUCCUUUCACCGGUGAAGAUAAUGACUGUAGCCGGAGAAGAAGCCCCGGCUAACUUCGUGCCAGCAGCCGCGGUAAUACGAAGGGGGCUAGCGUUGCUCAGAUUUACUGGGCGUAAAGGGCGCGUAGGCGGACAUUUAAGUCAGGGGUGAAAUCCCGGGGCUCAACCUCGGAACUGCCUUUGAUACUGGGUGUCUUGAGUAUGAGAGAGGUGUGUGGAACUCCGAGUGUAGAGGUGAAAUUCGUAGAUAUUCGGAAGAACACCAGUGGCGAAGGCGACACACUGGCUCAUUACUGACGCUGAGGCGCGAAAGCGUGGGGAGCAAACAGGAUUAGAUACCCCGGUAGUCC
rnacentral:rRNA from 1 species